rnacentral:rRNA from 1 species
UGCGCAGCUACCAUGCAGUCGAGCGGAACGAGUUAUCUGAACCUUCGGGGGACGAUAACGGCGUCGAGCGGCGGACGGGUGAGUAAUGCCUAGGAAAUUGCCCUGAUGUGGGGGAUAACCAUUGGAAACGAUGGCUAAUACCGCAUGAUGCCUUUGGGCCAAAGAGGGGGACCUUCGGGCCUCUCGCGUCAGGAUAUGCCUAGGUGGGAUUAGCUAGUUGGUGAGGUAAGGGCUCACCAAGGCGACGAUCCCUAGCUGGUCUGAGAGGAUGAUCAGCCACACUGGAACUGAGACACGGUCCAGACUCCUACGGGAGGCAGCAGUGGGGAAUAUUGCACAAUGGGCGCAAGCCUGAUGCAGCCAUGCCGCGUGUGUGAAGAAGGCCUUCGGGUUGUAAAGCACUUUCAGUCGUGAGGAAGGUAGUGUAGUUAAUAGCUGCAUUAUUUGACGUUAGCGACAGAAGAAGCACCGGCUAACUCCGUGCCAGCAGCCGCGGUAAUACGGAGGGUGCGAGCGUUAAUCGGAAUUACUGGGCGUAAAGCGCAUGCAGGUGGUUUGUUAAGUCAGAUGUGAAAGCCCGGGGCUCAACCUCGGAAUUGCAUUUGAAACUGGCAGACUAGAGUACUGUAGAGGGGGGUAGAAUUUCAGGUGUAGCGGUGAAAUGCGUAGAGAUCUGAAGGAUACCGGUGGCGAAGGCGGCCCCUGGACAGAUACUGACACCUCAGAUGCGAAGGCGUGGGGAGCAAACAGAUAGAUACCUGUAGUCCACGCCGUAACGAUGUCU